UUUCCGUAGGUGAACCUGCGGAAGGAUCAUUAAAGAACGCCCCGUUUUUUGAAAUGGGUAAUUCUAAACCGUGUAUACAUACCUUUGUUGCUUUGGCAGGCCGCCCCUCAGGGCGUCGGCUCCGGCUGACUGCGCCUGCCAGAGGACCCAAACUCUUUUGUUUAGUGAUGUCUGAGUACUAUAUAAUAGUUAAAACUUUCAACAACGGAUCUCUUGGUUCUG
rnacentral:misc_RNA from 1 species